rnacentral:rRNA from 1 species
GACGUAGGGCGCGAGCGUUGGCCGGAUUUAUUGGGCGUAAAGCGCUCGUAGGCGGCUUGUCGCGUCGACUGUGAAAUCUCCACGCUUAACGUGGAGCGUGCGGUCGAUACGGGCAGACUUGAGUUCGGUAGGGGAGACUGGAAUUCCUGGUGUAGCGGUGAAAUGCGCAGAUAUCAGGAGGAACACCGGUGGCGAAGGCGGGUCUCUGGGCCGAUACUGACGCUGAGGAGCGAAAGCGUGGGGAGCGAACAGG